rnacentral:rRNA from 1 species
GUGCCUAACACAUGCAAGUCGCACGAGAAAGCGGGGGCAACUCCGUGAGUAAAGUGGCGCACGGGUGAGUAACACGUGACUAACCUGCCCUACAGUGGGGGAUAACCUCGGGAAACCGGGGCUAAUACCGCAUAACCUCGUGAGGUGAAAUUCCUUGCGAGCAAAGAAGCAAUUCGCUGUUGGAGGGGGUCGCGGCUGAUUAGCUAGUUGGCGGGGUAACGGCCCACCAAGGCAAUGAUCAGUAGCCGGCCUGAGAGGGCGCACGGCCACACUGGAACUGAAACACGGUCCAG